CCUACGGGAGGCAGCAGUGGGGAAUAUUGGGCAAUGGGCGCAAGCCUGACCCAGCUACUCCGCGUGAAGGAAGAAGGCUUUCGGGUUGUAAACUUCUUUUCUCAGGGACGAAGAAAGUGACGGUACCUGAGGAAUAAGCUACGGCUAACUACGUGCCAGCAGCCGCGGUAAUACGUAGGUGGCAAGCGUUAUCCGGAUUUAUUGGGUGUAAAGGGCGUGUAGGCGGGAGAGCAAGUCAGAUGUGAAAGCUCAGGGCUCAACCCUGGGCCUGCAUUUGAAACUGUGUGUCUAGAGUGCUGGAGAGGCAAUCGGAAUUCCGUGUGUAGCAGUGAAAUGCGUAGAUAUACGGAAGAACACCAGUGGCGAAGGCAGAUUGCUGGACAGUAACUGACACUGAGGCACGAAAGUGUGGGUAUCAAACAGGAUUAGAUACCCGUGUAGUC
rnacentral:rRNA from 1 species